UACGUAGGGAGCAAGCGUUGUCCGGAAUCAUUGGGCGUAAAGCGCGCGUAGGUGGCCAUGUAAGUCCGCUGUGAAAGUCAAAGGCUCAACCUUUGAAAGCCGGUGGAUACUGCAUGGCUAGAGUACGGAAGAGGCGAGUGGAAUUCCUGGUGUAGCGGUGGAAUGCUCAGAUAUCAGGAGGAACACCAAUAGCGAAGGCAGCUCGCUGGGACGUUACUGACACUGAGGCGCGAAAGCGUGGGGAGCGAACAGG
rnacentral:rRNA from 1 species